rnacentral:lncRNA from 9 species
GGGACGGGGGCUCCGGUACGCGGCCGAGACGGUCGGCUUCUGUCUUCUGUGCUCCGAAUCCCCAGGCGCUAGUGCCGCUGUCCCCGGGUCGGAACCUACUCUCCUUCCGGUCGCUCCCGGCUGCCCCCCCCGGGACAGCCGCAACAGACCGGGUGCCCAAGAGGACCCCGCCUCCCUAAGGGGGUGUGGCCGAGGGGGAGGGUCCCAUCCCUGUGACGUCAGACGCAGGCCCUCAGACUCCACCUCCCCUUUGGGACGCGUAACCUCUCUAGGACUCCGGAGGACCAACCCCCCACCUCUGUGGUCUUAACCCUUCUAUUCCCAGGGGCCAAGAUUCCGAGCCUGGGCUAAGGAUGGGAGGCGGUCCGCUGGCACCGGGUUGGCGGGAACCUGAUCCGGAGAAGGAACGUGCGUGAGAGCGAGCGCAGGCGACUGACAGAGGAACCGACAGCAGACGGAGGGAGAGUUCUCCCUAGGACCAGACCGGUACGCCUUCGUGUCUCAGGACCAGAAUUCUCUUUAGCCAAGUAGGAUAGGUGCUCUCUGAGAGAAGAGUUGUUUCUGUCCGACGCCUCAUCUCUUCGGGAUCAGAAUUGCUGUCGGACAGUCUGGGUAUGGCUAAUGUUCUUUUCUAGCUGGGGGUUGCCAUUGGUAACCCGAGAGCGAGGUAGUUGAAACUCCCUAUGGGACCGUCAGAGAAAUUCUUUCUCGAGGCUGUGUUAAAGAGGUCAUGAUGUGACAUAGGAAUAGACAUACUUUUGAUAGGCUCUUAGAUUCCUGCAUUGGUGUGCAGUUAUUCCGACAACUUUUAUCACCUGACUCAACUUGCAGCAGUGUGGAAGCAGUAAAAGGAGGAGAGCAUCUUUUCUUGUCUUGUUUGGAAAGCAGGGGAUCUUGGGCAGUGGACCUGCACUGUACCAGAAAUUUGUUUCGAGAGGGUUGGUUUGGGGUUUUGUUUGUUGUUUUGUUUUGUUUUGUAUUAUUGCCAUGCCUGUGUCAUGCAGACGUUCUUGGGCCAGAGGUGGGACCUGUGCCACAACAGCGGCCAGAGCGACAGCAGGGACAGCACCGGCUCCUUAACCUGCUGAGCCACCAGGCAGCUCCUCCAGAAAUGUGGAUGUAAGAUUAAUUAGGGGUUUCCGUUUGUAUUUCCAACACCAUUUUCCUACAUAGACGUAUCCCUACUGGGCGUGUUGCAUACGUUGUCUAUGCGUUGGGGUUAUUUUGCUUGCUCGGUGUUCAAAAAGAGAAAAGUGAAAUGGCCUGUGCCUGGUCUCUUGGAGUGCCAGCAACAGAGAAGCCGCACCAGAAGAAAGGAUUUCCAUAUUUUAAGAAGUAGUAUUACACCAGCUCCCUCUGGGAAGGGAGUCUCCUGCCUAGAACUUGUUGGCAUUCGAUUAACUGUUUUGUGAGUGGUCGUGUCAGGGAAACAGUGGUUUUACUGUUUUUAGUUGAAUAUUGGCGACAUUGCACAUUGUACUUGUCAUUGCAUGAAAUGGGUAAGUAAAACGGCAGAUCCUAGGGAUCCCUUUUCUUUAUCCGGCAUGUGGGUGCGAUGCAGGCUCAAAAUGCGAACGUUCGGUUUAGGCGGGGCCGACGUGCAGCCUGAGAAACUGUAAUGUUUAUGAAGUGGGGGGUCGAGGUGCCAAGAGGAAAUCUGUGCUUUGUUAGAAGAUUAUGUAUGCAUCUAGGUAGUAGGUAGAGCCAAAGGACGUAUAAGGUGGUGAAUGCGAAUGAAAACAGGUGAGUCCUUUAAGAGGGAGAGAUCGGUGUGGUGAACAGUGCUGGGACCUUUGUAUUUUAACAGACCUGGGUGAACAUUGGUCGCGACCACUCCCCAGUGGUUGUGACCUUGAGUGGGAGUAGGCUUACCCUCUCUGAUCCUCAGUUACCUCAUCUGAAGAUAGGGACACUAAUAUUAUGUAUGAUUGCACCCCCGCCCUCCAGGCGGAGCUUGCCUGACCACCUGGCUUCCAGGGUUCUGGGCUGUGUCCCAGGGCCCGCCGUCUCCCACCAGCCCGGGCUCUCAUCACGCCGGCUUCCCUGUUGUCUUCAGUUCAGCUCCCUGCCCACCAGACUGUGAGCUCCUCCAGGCCCAUCUUCCUGCAUGAAACGAGCCUGUGCGCACAAAGUCUGCCAAAGCACGGAUCCCGGAGCCUGGUGCCCCACAGAUGCUCUAACACGUUGACCUCUGUCGUCCUGUGAGUGAUGAUGGCACGAGUAACACGGGGUGCACACAGAGAGCGGUGUAGCUGCUGUGCUAGGGUCAGGCCCUUUGUUGGAAACAACACAUCGGAAAGAGUGUCUAGAGCACAUCUCUCAGGUUCGUUUUCUCUUGUUCCGGGAGGUGUGGUUUCUUGUAUCCCCACCCCGUGCAGAACCCCAUGGUGCCGGUGCAACACCCACAUUGCCCUUCCUCGUUCAUAACUAUUACACCAGCCGUGUCUCUCCUGAGCACAUUUUGCCAGUGAGUGAGCAGUGAACAGCCUCUGCUCAACUUGCAGUUCCUUUGAGUGGGUGAGGGGCAUCUCGUCUGCUGCGGCCACCCUGUCCCGAGUUUCCAGUGGUCCGUCUCUUCCCUACUUUUCUUCCCUUUAUUCCGUAUCUUGGAUAAUCUUUUCCCUCUCAGGGUGGAGGUCUGCCCAAACUCGCAGCUGCAUUGGGCAGUUUGCAGAGGGCACUGAUGAACAGAAGCACCCUGGGUGACUACUUGUUGAAUGAAAACAGCCCGGACAGCCCGGCUCCUUUGUUUCCUGGGUCAGAGGAGUGGCCAUCACUCAGGCUGCCCUCAGCCGGAUGGACAGUGCCAAUCAGUGUCUUUGGGCAGGUCCACGUGGGCGCUGUCACUCAUGGAAGGAGACUGCUGUCCCCAUCUUCCUCUCGCCUCUGUGAUUCUCCUGCUCCUUCUUCCCCCCCGCCCCCGAGCCCUCCUUUGCACUCCCACUGCUGUCUGUGUACACGUGCACCGUGCCUGAGCCCGCCCUGCCACCCACUUCAUGUGGGUGACUGUGAAUUACCUUUCCCAUUAGGCCUGUUGUCUCUUGGCUCACAGCCCAAAGCAGACUUCCUGUUCCACUGAGUCUGGAUUUCUGUUUUCCUUACCCUUCCCUUUUUCCUUUUUUUGGCGGAGCAGUAUGGCAUCUUGCUAAAGGACACUAGCUCUGAUUCUAGGCAACCUUCCUUUCAGCCCCGUUCUGCCACUUGCUGUCGUAUGGUCUUGAGAACUUUACUCGGCCCGCUGUCACCUGAAGAGGGUUAAUCCUUCUUGAUGAGGAGGCCACCCGAAAGGGUGUUACUUGUGAAUAUGUCAUAAGCUUCAUGGAAAUGUGCUGGCACGUUCGUUCCCCGUCAUUACAACUGCGGAUGCUGCCACGGGGCGGGCUGCAGGUCGGGCCUUACCCUGCAUGAGCUCCAGCAAUGAACUUCAACGUCCCACUAGACAUCUCUGUCCAGCCCUAGAGGCUCUCUGUUUCUCUGGCCCAGUCCUCCAGCUUCUCCCCCUCGCCUGGAGGAGCUCUCAGCAGGCAGCUGGCACUUCCAUUGCGGGUCUCCCACCUGGGGACCAACAACCGACGAGAGCUUCUGUCUUGUGCUUCCGUUCUGUCUGUGCCAGUUGUGUCCACGGGUGAGUUGGGGCUGCUUCCCUUUCCGAGCCAUAGGCCCAGUGUUUCUGGGAGGCCUGCGUAGAGGAACGGGGCCAGGCAUCCUUCCUCCUGGGAGACCCUAGUUCAGGUUCCUCAGUGCCUUGACCCUCAGCCUGGGUACCAAACCGCCCAGCCUUCUGCCAGACGGGGUGCUUCACCAGCAGGAGAGAGGGAGAACCUCCAACUAGAGAUGCGACAGGAAAGCGGAAGAGUGUUUCGGAGGCUCCCAGCACGGUGGUUAGGCGAAAAGUGAGACUCUCAUCCCCACCUGACAUAGACCUGAACAGAUUCAGACAGGGGUGCUGGUGUGUUGCCACAUCCUGAGCGGGCCUUCCUUUGGGGACCAAACAGCGAGCAGUAGCCAGAGGAGGUUCAAGCGCAGAGUGAGCAUUGGAAACCCUAUCAGCAUGAGACUUGAUCUGAUCCCAGGAAGGUCCUCAUCUUUCCUGCCUGGAAUUUCUGGAUCAUUCUGGGGCAUCCUAUGGCAAAGGAGAUGGAUUCCUAGUGGACCUUCGCUCCUAGAUCAGAGCUUCCGUGAUGCGUGUUAUUACUGUCACACCCUGUCUCCCGCCCUACUUCGUUGUCAGUGGGGUACCCAGUGUCCCUGUACUAUGCAUGCUUUGCUGAUGUCCAUGUGCUUCUGUGCCAUUUUAUUGGCUGCCUCCAAGAAGCAGCGCUGGGGCUGCCGGAAGGCGGAAGGCUCGUGUGCUAGGCUGAGCUCCAGCUUUGAUGGUAUGAGGCCAGUCAAGCCGUGGUGAGGGGGUGUGGAGCCAGAACUGGGGGAGGGGUGGGGUGGUUCACCAUUUCACGGAAUUCUCAGUGUCAGUUCUUGCAACCCUGAGGAGCUCACCGGACGUGAAGGUCUUCCUGCUCCAUAGCAAUGACUCUUCUCCCUUGAAGGACCUUCUGACCGCUUCUGUCGUUGUUGAUAGCAAAUGAAUACACACACUAAAGGAAACUAACAUCAGAAUCCAAGUUUGUUCAUCUUGUUCUGUGCUAGGUGAAGUCUGAGGUUACUACCCUUCAAUCCCAGAGCAGCAGAUCCAAGUUUGUAAAGAGGCGCUCUCAACUGCGUAGGUUUGCAACAGUGCAGGGUGGAGGGCACAAGAGCACACCGUCUGGUCACUCUUGGUGGCUCUGCGGCCAGACCGGCCUUCACAUGGCCCAGGUGGACAGGAAGGAAAGGGGCCCUCCGGCCCAGGGAGAGUUGUAAGCAGGGUCUGCUGUCUACAGCAGCUGGUCCUGCAGCUGGCGCUGGUGGCCCUGGCGUAGGGGGCCAGGGGACAGUCCUCAGGGUCGGUGCGUGUGAAUCGCACUUUCACGGCUGCUGCAUGGGAUCCACAUUCGGCCUCAUUGAGUUGUUCAGGAGUGGUCUUGGGGGUUAGGACUUGUGCCUUUUCCUCGCAGGAGGCGUGACUGCUGAAUCCACUUUCUCCCCACACACAACGUCCAGUGAUGUGCACCCAGCAAGCGCCCGUGGGAUCCUUCUGAACGGAAGAAAUUCUGCUCUCUGUCAGCCUGUGCUGUUAGGUGUCCCCAGGAAACCCACGCGUCUUCUGCGGACAGACCUGGCUCGAGAACAGCCCACACUCUUGACCAUCACCGAGCAAGCAUACCCGCCCUUAAGGCUGGAGUGAAGUGGGAGGAGCCGGUGACUGCAGUGUACCUACCCAGCUGGCGGCACCCCAUCCGGGUAAGACACAUCACAGGACCCUGCCCACAGUGCACUGGGGCAGGGGUGACCAUCCCCACCCGGCACAAGUUCACCAGGGUGGUGAUGUGAUGGGUUCGCUCCAGCAGCCAACCCAGAUCAGUCCUGCCAACCACAGUCAGUCGUUUAGCCAAUCAUGAAGGUUUUCACUGUGUCCCUUCCAUGCCCACUCCGUGCCAGGCUGGCUGGCUGGUGAGCAGGAGUUGCAGAGCCAGUCACCGCCAUCAGGAGCCGAGUCUUUAAUCAGACAGAGAGCUAACACCCACCUAUGUCGUGGAUUCUGGGCCGCAAUCUGAGCCACGGGCACCCAGAGGCCAGAAAAUAGUGACGGGGAGUCGGCUUAGGGUGUGAUGGCCAAAUAGCAAAUCUGAAUGUACCUAUAGCAAGUAAAGGUAUUAAAUCAUUAAGUGGAAAACCUUCCGACAAAGGGAAGUCCUGGGUCCGCUUACUUCAUUGCUGAAGUCUAUCAAAUGUUUAUGGAAGAAACAAUGCCCAUGUGUCACAGACUCAUCCUGAAUAUAAAGGACAAGGGACUAUUUCCUGCCGAACUCAUCCUAUGGGGACAGUUUUACCCUGCCACCAACACCACAAGCAACCUUUAGACUGCUAUCUAUCAGUAAUAGCAAUACACGGAUCAUCAACCAAAUAUCAGCAAAUCAGGGAGUUCCCAUUGUAGUUCAGUGGGUUACAAACCCGACUAGCAUCCAUGAUGCGGGUUCGAUCCCUGGCCUCGCUCAGUGGGUUAAAGGAUCCAGCAUUGCCGUGAGCUGUGGUGUAGGUCCCAGACUUGGCUCAGAUCUGGCGUGGCUGUGAGCUGUGGCAUAGGCCGGCAGCGGUAGCUCCGAUUUGACCCCUAGCUUGGGAACUUCCAUAUGUCCCAGGUGCAGCCCUACACAGAAAAAAAAAGAAAGAGAAAGAAAGAAAGGAAGAAAGAAGGAAGGAAGGAAGGAAGGAAGGAAGGAAGGAAGGAAGGAAGGAAGGAAAGAAAAAGAAAAUAGCAAAUCCAGCAACAUUUGCAAAGGGCUGUGAAACAUAACUAAUCGAGGUUUAUCCAGGAUUGCAAUGUUGGAAUAACAGUCAACCUCAGUUAAGGUAAACAGCAUAUUAACAUGGUAAAGGACAAAAACCACCUGUCAUCAUCUCCAUAGACAAAGCAAAAGCAUUUG